rnacentral:rRNA from 1 species
GAUGAACGCUGGCGGCGUGCCUAAUACAUGCAAGUCGAGCGAACAGACGAGGAGCUUGCUCCUCUGACGUUAGCGGCGGACGGGUGAGUAACACGUGGAUAACCUACCUAUAAGACUGGGAUAACUUCGGGAAACCGGCGCUAAUACCGGAUAAUAUCUUGAACCGCAUGGUUCAAUAGUGAAAGACGGUUUUGCUGUCACUUAUAGAUGGAUCCGCGCCGCAUUAGCUAGUUGGUAAGGUAACGGCCUACCAAGGCAACGAUGCGUAGCCGACCUGAGAGGGUGAUAGGCCACAGUGGAAGUGAGACACGGUCCAGACUCCUACGGGAGGCAGCAGUAGGGAAUCGUCCGCAAUGGGCGAAAGCCUGACGGAGCAACGCCGCGUGAGUGAUGAAGGUCUUCGGAUCGUAAAACUCUGUUAUUAGGGAAGAACAAAUGUGUAAGUAACUAUGCACGUCUUGACGGUAACUAAUAAGAAAGCCACGGCUAACUACGUG